rnacentral:rRNA from 1 species
GACGAACGCUGGCGGCGUGCCUAAUACAUGCAAGUCGAGCGCAGGAAAUCAUCCGAACCCUUCGGGGGGACGUUGAUGGAAUGAGCGGCGGACGGGUGAGUAACACGUAAAGAACCUGCCCUCAGGUCUGGGAUAACCACGAGAAAUCGGGGCUAAUACCGGAUGGGUCAUCGGACCGCAUGGUCCGAGGAUGAAAGGCGCUUCGGCGUCGCCUGGGGAUGGCUUUGCGGUGCAUUAGCUAGUUGGUGGGGUAAUGGCCCACCAAGGCGACGAUGCAUAGCCGACCUGGGAGGGUGAUCGGCCACACUGGGACUGAGACACGGCCCAGACUCCUACGGGAGGCAGCAGGAGGGAAUCUUCCACAAUGGACGAAAGUCUGAUGGAGCAACGCCGCGUGAACGAUGAAGGCCUUCGGGUCGUAAAGUUCUGUUGUAAGGGAAGAACAAGUGCCGCAGGCAAUGGCGGCACCUUGACGGUACCUUGCGAGAAAGCCACGGCUAACUACGUGCCAGCCGCCGCCGUAA